AACCCUGGGACUGGAGGGAAGGCUGGGAGCAGGAUAAUGUGUGUGUGGAAACAGUCCCAUCUACUAUGAGCAUCUUGGAACGUCUUGCUCACCACUGAACGAGACAGGUUAAGUGGAGAAUUCCUCAAAUGAGCAUGCACACAACUUCAGUAAACACACGGUGCAUGUACAGCAUUUGCCCUUCCCAAGUGCUGGCAGGCCACUGUGCAUGUGGACAGCCCACCCAAAGGGAAGAAUCAGGAGGAAAUAAUGCAAUAGGAAGAUGCCAACAUAAGACCCCAGGUCAAAGGUCAAACCGUACACUUGACUCUCUCACAAGCCUCCCACCGGGCUCUCUUACAAGCGUGCUUCACUCCAUUUCAUUCCUGCCCUGAUAGUUUUUAAUACACUUUCACUCCUGCUCUAAAA